AUUCGGUGGUGAGGGCAAGCCUCUAGCAACUCCUUGAAUUUUUCUCAGUAUUCAUACAAAGUCUCCCCAUCUCGUUGUACAAUACAAGAGAUCUCUCUUAGUAGCUU